CCUACGGGAGGCAGCAGUGGGGAAUAUUGCACAAUGGGGGGAACCCUGAUGCAGCGACGCCGCGUGAGUGAAGAAGUACUUCGGUAUGUAAAGCUCUAUCAGCAGGGAAGAAAAUGACGGUACCUGACUAAGAAGCCCCGGCUAACUACGUGCCAGCAGCCGCGGUAAUACGCAGGGGGCAAGCGUUAGCCGGAUUUACUGGGUGUAAAGGGAGUGUAGACGGGAGAGCAAGUCUGAAGUGAAAGCCCGCGGCCCAACUGGCGGACUGCUUUGGAAACUGCCCGGCUAGAGUGCGGGAGAGGUAAGUGGAAUGCGUGGUGUAGCGGUGAAAUGCAUAGAUAUUAGGCAGAACACCGGUGGCGAAGGCGGCUUACUGGACAGUAACUGACGUUGAGGCUCGAAAGCGUGGGGAGCAAACAGGAUUAGAUACCCCUGUAGUC
rnacentral:rRNA from 1 species